GGGCCCAUAGUCUAGCGGUUAUGAUGCCGCCUUCACACGGCGGAGGCCACCGGUUCGAAUCCGGUUGGGCCCA
rnacentral:tRNA from 1 species